GCGUGGAUGAAGAAGGUCUUCGGAUUGUAAAGUCCUUUCGGCGGGGACGAUGAUGACGGUACCCGCAGAAGAAGCCCCGGCUAACUUCGUGCCAGCAGCCGCGGUAAUACGAAGGGGGCUAGCGUUGCUCGGAAUGACUGGGCGUAAAGGGCGUGUAGGCGGUUUUCGCAGUCGGGUGUGAAAUUCCUGGGCUUAACCUGGGGGCUGCAUCCGAGACGUGGGGACUGGAGUGGGGAAGAGGGUCGUGGAAUUCCCAGUGUAGAGGUGAAAUUCGU
rnacentral:rRNA from 1 species